UAUGGCCACAUCAUGUUGAAACACUAGUUCUCAUCCAAAGACCGAAGUUAAGCAAUGUCAAGUCUGGUCAGUACCUAUAUUGGUGACCGCUUGAGAUUACUAGGUGCUGUAAG